AGACGGAGGGGGCUAGCGUUGUUCGGAAUUACUGGGCGUAAAGGGCGCGUAGGCGGCUUGUCAAGUUGGAGGUGAAAGCCCGGGGCUCAACCCCGGAACUGCCUUCAAGACUGGCAGGCUAGAGUUCGGGAGAGGAGAGUGGAAUUCCCAGUGUAGAGGUGAAAUUCGUAGAUAUUGGGAGGAACACCGGUUGCGAAGGCGGCUCUCUGGUCCGAUACUGACGCUGAGGCGCGAAAGCGUGGGGAGCAAACAGGAUUAGAUACCCUAGUAGUCC
rnacentral:rRNA from 1 species